CGAGCAUCACGACUAAAACGCUGCGUGUUGUCUCUUCGUGUGGUUUCUGCUGUCGAGCCCUCGCCUGCAGCUUCAGCACCACCUGCUCCUUCAACAGCAGGAGUCGGAGGAGAAGACGGGUUAAAGAUGAAAAUGAACCGCAUGAGGUUGAGGAUUGAUCGAAGACUUAAAGAGGCGCAGAACACCUGCGCAAUCCUGACCACUUUCAACGAGGUGGAUGAGCUGCUGCACACGCUCUGACUGAUCAACCUGCAGUCACUGCUGGGUCUUGUCGUACCGGUGAUAAGAAGACCAUGAACUUCACUAACGGUGAGAAAGACGUUAACGCCCUGGAAGAAGAGGUCAAACUCUCAGGCUCGUAAAAACGAGCUCGCUGUUCAAGAUGUGGACG